UGUUACUAUGUAAAGGAAAUGGGCCUACUCUUUGUGUAUAUAGGAUUAUACAGCCAAUUACUGAGGGCUCUUGAGCACGAAGGAAAGGGGAAAAUGCAGAGAAGGCCCUGCCAUAAAUUUUUGUGAGGACACAAAGACCUCACUACAUCAUAACAUGCUGAGUAGGAGGGGUUAUAAAGGGCAAGUGGGGCAAAAAGAUAUUGAGACAGACAGCCCAGGGGCUCUGCCACUCUAUCAUGGUCCUGUGGUCACCUCUAUUCUUGACAGUCUCCCUGGAGAGUAGAAGUAAGAGAACCCCACCAUCCCACUCACUCUGGAACAAAACGCCAAAGCCUAGGCACCUAGGAGCCUCUUGUGGAGGGGAGAAAAAAGGAACUGGGGAGGGGAAAAGGUAGAGAGGAAGUGCGCCCCGAGUGUGGGGUUGAGAGGGGCACUAACUCCUGACAGAGAUGUGAGCAGGAUGCCCAGUGACAUCCCUGCCCACCAGGUCUCAGUGGGAAACAGAGUCUGUCUAGCCUGUACUCAUCUCCACUUGUCUGCUUGUACCUUUAAGGCUGGGAAUGUUUGUCUGAGAGGCCAGAGAAGCCAGGACUUGCCUAAGAACAUCCUGAGAACCAGUUGACAGAAAAGUGGUCACAAAAUACAAGCCAAAGACUGCUGAAUCUACUCCCUUAGAAGGAAAUGAUCCCUGCUGGACCCACCAGAACCAUAGCUUUCCAUUCUGAGGGCUGCUAAUGGAUGUCUGAGAGGGGAGAGGGGUCCAGAAAUUUGCCCAAAGGCCAUUCUGAGGAUCGGUUGGCAGAAAAGUGGUCACAACACACAAGCCACAGACUGCUGGAUCCAGUCCCAAAAGAAAGAAAAAAAAUCCCUGCUCAUCCCUCCGGAACAACAGCUUUCCUUUCUGAGGGCUGCUAAUGUAUGUCUGAGAGGGAGAGGGGUCCAGGAAAUUUACCCAAAGGCCAUUCUGAGGUUCGGUUGGCAGAAAAGUGGUCACAAAACACAAGCCACAGACUGCUGCAUCCAGUGCCAAAAGAAAGAAAAGAUCCCUGCUCAUCCGUCCGGAACAACAGCUUUCCAUUCUGAGGUGAGACAGUCUCUAUAGGAUGGGGGACACCUGUGGCUCAGGGGGAAGGUCCAGGGAGACCCAUGGGCCCUGGGAGGCUUUAGUCAGAACCAGCUGGAUGGGGGCCAGGCCUUCAAAAAGCAUUAGACUGGCAGUGUUUUUGUCAUAGAGAGAGGAGGCUGUUUGACUGGGUUAAGGGAGCUGCAGAGGAAUGUAGGAGAGGAGUCUGAAAUGGCUUGUAGUUUUGAGUCUAAAUGAGCCUGUAUCUCAGAGGUCAUCUUGUUCAACCUCCUCAUUUGACUUAAAGGGCUAAGUGAAGUGAAGAAGAGUGGAUGAGUUUGAUCUAUUAUACACAGCCAUGAAGGGAAGGGGGCAAAAGCAAGUCCUGAGUCCAGAACUCCCUUGUCUGCCAAGCUACAUGUCUUACAUCUUGUUAGCUACCUCUUCUGAGAGCCAAGUUUCAUGCACUCAUGUGCAUGUGAGAGACUCCAGUAUCAUAGGACAACUCAGUAUGAGGUGGAGAAAUUCCCCAUAGAUCCUGGACUUCUGUGAGUCUUCAGUCAUGGAGGAGAAGAGAUCAAGUAAGGGGUUUGGAUCAGUCUCUGGAGAAGUGACCUUCCCUGAAUUUCUUUCAUUUAGUCGAACAGAAACUAGCACAUUCCACUCAUACAUUUUGGAACCUCCUUGAACAUUUCCCUGGGAAUUAGAGAUAAAAGCUUAGGCAAGGUCCAUCUUGCUGAUAUCAGAGAUUUCCUCCUCUGGAGUCUCAGAUUGUUGAAGGAAUACUUGGACAUUAGAAAUGGCAUAGAGAUGGGCAAAGAUGGGUAUCAUGGAGGGAAGGGGAUCAAGAAAGGUUUGGUAGACUCGGGUUCAGUAUCAUUUGGGAUUACAAUAAAAACAUGUAUAGUGAAAAACA
rnacentral:lncRNA from 1 species